CACAACAAUUUGUCUUUUAAUUGAAGAAUGGUAUGAAAGGGUUAACGUGGGAUAAGCUGUGUCAAAAUAAUGUUAUCAAAAUUAAUUUUUGCGUGAAGAAGCGUGAAUUUCUUAGAGUGACGAUUAGACCCUAUGAAGUUUAACCUGAAGUUAUCCUAUGUGCCGGAAAGAUUGGAACAAGUUUUCUAAUAGAUUUCGGCAAACUACAAUGGUUUUGGUGGGGCCCCAGUCUUAGUAAGUGUAAGGCAUUGCACAGGUUUUGUGCGUUUGUAUUUUAAAGUGUUGUAAGUUUUUAAUAAUAAUUUCUUACUUGAGUUAGCUAUAUUUUAUAAGUUUGAUAAACUACUCUAGGGAUAACAGCACAAUCCUCUUCGAUAGACGACAUUGAAAAGGGGGU
rnacentral:rRNA from 1 species